rnacentral:rRNA from 1 species
GACGAACGCUGGCGGCGUGCUUAACACAUGCAAGUCGAACGGAAAGGCCCUGCUUUUGUGGGGUGCUCGAGUGGCGAACGGGUGAGUAACACGUGAGUAACCUGCCCUUGACUUUGGGAUAACUUCAGGAAACUGGGGCUAAUACCGGAUAGGAGCUCCUGCUGCACGGUGGGGGUUGGAAAGUUUCGGCGGUUGGGGAUGGACUCGAGGCUUAUCAGCUUGUUGGUGGGGUAGUGGCUUACCAAGGCUUUGACGGGUAGCCGGCCUGAGAGGGUGACCGGCCACAUGGCGCCUGCGAUACGCCCCAGACUGCAACGGGAGGCAGCAGUGGGGAAUAUUGCACAAUGGGCCGAAGCCUGAUGCAACAACGCCGCGUGCGGGAUGACGGCCUUCGGGUUGUAAACCGCUUUCGCCUGUGACGAAGCGUGAGUGACGGUAAUGGGUAAAGAAGCACCGGCUAACUACGUG